UACGAAGGGUGCAAACGUUGCUCGGAAUUAUUGGGCGUAAAGCGCACGUAGGCGGCUUGGCAAGUCGGAUGUGAAAUCCCUCGGCUCAACCAAGGAAGUGCAUCCGAAACUGCUGAGCUUGAGUACUUAAGAGGAUCGCGGAAUUCCCGGUGUAGAGGUGAAAUGCGUAGAGAUCGGGAGGAAUACCAGUGGCGAAGGCGGCCUGCUGGGCCACGACCGACACUGAGGUGCGAAAGCGUGGGGAGCGAACCGG
rnacentral:rRNA from 1 species